GAGUUCUGCUGCGCUGCUAACUUUCCGCCAAGUAAUGAAUAAAUUAGCACCGCUGAAGGGGGAAAUAAAUGUUAGAGGGAGCCGCCAAGACAAACGGGGAUUUUUGUCGUGAAAAUUGUUUCACAGGUCAAGAAUUCUGCGCCCGAAAGUCGCCCCGUUACCUAGUUUGGGAUCUGGUUACGACUGUAGCAACUCGAAGAGAGCCCCAAAGCAGUGGAAAGUGCUUAGACAAUAGGGCUCUGCGGGAAAGUUGUUAGUCAGUGACUGUGUUUGUCUACCUUUCUAUAGGAAUUAAUGCCACAGUUCUCUGUGCCUCUGUAGCCUGGACUGACAGUAAUCCACCUCUGUGACUUCUGCCCUUUGUGUUUUCACAAAACUCGGCUCACUUGUAGCAUGACAACAGCACGGAAUAAUGACUUUAACCUUCAAACGUUCCUUAAUUAGCUUUUUCAGCAAACUAAAAGAUGUUCAAAUGAGCCCUUUGACAAAAACUGACCUGAGCCUUCAAAUUCUACUUUCAUUUUUGGGACUAAGACGUUAUUGGUUCGCAACUCGUCUGAAGUCAUCUAAUAAGGGAUUAUUUAGGAACUAUUACCCACACGCCAAUUAAAGCCUCUCCGAUGAAAUUCGGGAGACAAAGAUAAGCAUCAAAACGGAAAAUUAAACUAUUUGCACAUGGCUUGUUUUUCAACAACCCAUUUUGCAUCUCAGGAUAAACAUCUUCUCCCCAGCUCGCUCCUCGGGAGCGGGGAGGGUGCGGGAGCCUCUCCGGGGCGGCCGCGGAGCUGCGGAGCGCAGGGGCGGCGCUGCCGGGGCCGGGGAGCUCUGCUUGCCACGCUUAACACCAACAGGGGACUCGUACGGAGGGUGGCAGAGUUCAUCUCCAGCCGUAGAAGAGAACAACCCGAUGGUUCAGAAAUCUUGAGUUGUUCUUAGCCUCUGUGUACAAAUUUUGGACAGAGUUUCCAGGCAAAUUACAGCAGCAUCCUACGGCAAGCUGACAAAGAGAUUCCAGGAAUGCCACGCAUCUAGGAGGGAAAUACGAAUCCCUCCCUUUAGCCUGAAGCACGAAAUUGGCUUAAAGCUCAUUUUGCAGAUAACCGGAAACGAAAUCACCAGUAUAUGGACAAGACUUUCUGGAGAGAAAGAAAAACAAACAAACAAAAGUAAAAAAGUGAACCGCAUAUUGGAAGGGCUCUGAGAGAAAUUCGCAUAUCAACCCUCAUUUUUCAUCCUGGUCUGAGGAGGGCUGGGCUCUCACACGGCCAUUGGUACCCUUAAGUCUCUAUGCCGAGACCGAUCCCACGGGGUGGGAAAAUGAACAUUCCUUUUCAGAUUUUGACUUUUACAACUCAUUUUAGUCUUGGGGAAAUAGUCCCCAACAAAAUAAAACAUCCAAACCCAGACCA
rnacentral:lncRNA from 1 species